rnacentral:rRNA from 1 species
GACGAACGCUGGCGGCGUGCCUAAUACAUGCAAGUUGAGCGCUGAAGGUUGGUACUUGUACCGACUGGAUGAGCAGCGAACGGGUGAGUAACGCGUGGGGAAUCUGCCUUUGAGCGGGGGACAACAUUUGGAAACGAAUGCUAAUACCGCAUAAAAACUUUAAACACAAGUUUUAAGUUUGAAAGAUGCAAUUGCAUCACUCAAAGAUGAUCCCGCGUUGUAUUAGCUAGUUGGUGAGGUAAAGGCUCACCAAGGCGAUGAUACAUAGCCGACCUGAGAGGGUGAUCGGCCACAUUGGGACUGAGACACGGUCCAAACUCCUACGGGAGGCAGCAGUAGGGAAUCUUCGGCAAUGGACGAAAGUCUGACCGAGCAACGCCGCGUGAGUGAAGAAGGUUUUCGGAUCGUAAAACUCGGUUGGUAGAGAAGAACGUUGGUGAGAGUGGAAAGCUCAUCAAGUGACGGUAACUACCCAGAAAGGGACGGCUAACUACGUG